rfam:Oryza meridionalis cultivar OR44 (W2112) chromosome 1, whole genome shotgun sequence.
GAGGAGGAGGAGGAGCUCCCUUUCGAUCCAAUUCAGGAGAGGAAGUUGUAGGAUGCAGCUGCCGGUUCAUGGAUACCUCUGCAGUGCAUGUCUUAGGCUUGCACUUGCAUGGGUUUGCAUGACCCGGGAGAUGAACCUACCAUUGUCGUCCUCUAUUGAUUGGAUUGAAGGGAGCUCCACAUCUCUUUCAU